rnacentral:rRNA from 1 species
UACGUAUGGUGCAAGCGUUAUCCGGAUUUACUGGGUGUAAAGGGAGCGCAGGCGGCACGGCAAACCUGAUGUGAAAGCCCGCGGCCCAACCGCGGGACUGCAUUGGGAACUACCGGGCUGGAGUGCCGGAGAGGUAGGCGGAAUUCCUAGUGUAGCGGUGAAAUGCGUAGAUAUUAGGAGGAACACCAGUGGCGAAGGCGGCCUACUGGACGGUGACUGACGCUGAGGCUCGAAAGCGUGGGGAGCAAACAGG